AGACCGGGAGAGACUAGACUUAGCGCCGAAGGGGAAGCAAGAACUCUCAGGCAAAAGGACCGGUUUU
rnacentral:ncRNA from 1 species